rnacentral:rRNA from 1 species
GAUGAACGCUGGCGGCGUGCCUAAUACAUGCAAGUCGAGCGAACAGACGAGGAGCUUGCUCCUCUGACGUUAGCGGCGGACGGGUGAGUAACACGUGGAUAACCUACCUAUAAGACUGGGAUAACUUCGGGAAACCGGAGCUAAUACCGGAUAAUAUAUUGAACCGCAUGGUUCAAUAGUGAAAGACGGUUUUGCUGUCACUUAUAGAUGGAUCCGCGCCGCAUUAGCUAGUUGGUAAGGUAACGGCUUACCAAGGCAACGAUGCGUAGCCGACCUGAGCGGGUGAUCGGCCACACGGGAUCUGAGACACGGUCCAGACUCCGGCGGGAGGCAGCAGUAGGGAAUCUUCCGCAAGGGGCGAAAGCUUGACGGAGCAACGCCGCGGGAGUGAUGAAGGUCUUCGGCUCGUAAAGCGCUGUUAGUAGGGAAGAACAAAUGUGUAAGUAACUAUGCACGUCUUGACGGUACCUAAUCAGAAAGCCACGGCUAACUACGU